rnacentral:rRNA from 1 species
AGUCCGAACGAAGCCUUCGGGCUUAGUGGCGGACGGGUGAGUAACGCGUGAGAAUCUCCCUUCAGGAUGGGGACAACCGUUGGGAACGACGGCUAAUCCCCAAUGUGCCGAGAGGUGAAAGGGUUUCCGCCUGAAGAAGAGCUCGCGUCCGAUUAGUUAGUUGGUGAGGUAAGAGCUCACCAAGGCAGCGAUCGGUAGCUGGUCUGAGAGGAUGAGCAGCCACACUGGGACUGAGACACGGCCCAGACUCCUACGGGAGGCAGCAGUGGGGAAUUUUCCGCAAUGGGCGAAAGCCUGACGGAGCAACGCCGCGUGUGGGAAGAAGGCUCUUGGGCUGUCAACCACUCUUCUCAGGGAAGAAGUUCUGACGGUACCUGAGGAAUCAGCCUCGGCUAACUCCGUGCCAGCAGCCGCGGUAAUACGGAGGAGGCAAGCGUUAUCCGGAAUUAUUGGGCGUAAAGCGUCCGCAGGGGGCGCAUCAAGUCUGCUGUUAAAGGCUGGAGCUUAACUCCGGUAGAGCAGUGGAAACUGGUGCGCUAGAGGGCGACAGGGGUAGAGGGAAUUCCCAGUGUAGCGGUGAAAUGCGUAGAGAUUGGGAAGAACACCGGUGGCGAAAGCGCUCUACUGGGUCGCACCUGACCCUCAGGGACGAAAGCUAAGGUAGCGAAAGGGAUUAGAUACCCCUGUAGUCUUAGCCGUAAACGAUGGAUACUAGGCGUGGCUUGUAUCGACCCAAGCCGUGCCGAAGCUAACGCGUUAAGUAUCCCGCCUGGGGAGUACGCACGCAAGUGUG